rnacentral:rRNA from 1 species
ACGCUCGACACCUACGGGGGCAGCAGUGGGGAAUAUUGCACAAUGGGGGAAACCCGUGAUGCAGCGACGCCGCGUGAGCGAAGAAGUAUUUCGGUAUGUAAAGCUCUAUCAGCAGGGAAGAAGAAAGACGGUACCUGACUAAGAAGCCCCGGCUAACUACGUGCGAGCAGCCGCGGUAAUCUGAGGCGGGCUGGCAAGGC